CGGCCAGCCGCGUGGCCCCGCCCCUGGCGUGCCUGCCCUUGGUUCCGCCCGGCAGCCAGGCCAGCAGGCCUGCGAGGCCCCGCUCCAUCGCAAAUAAGGUUUCUUUGAGAUUUCUGUGAGGAGCGGGCCCCUGUGCUGACGCAGGCGGAGCGGUGGAGCUGGAGACUCGAGAGCAGAGGGUGUGGCUCCCGCGCGAGGCUGUCAGGCUGCUGCCCAAGCAGAACCGUCGUGGGAGUUGGCGUGUGAAAAUGAUACACUUGGAGAAGAAGAAAGACAACCUGAAUGGCAGAUGCUUUGAGUUAUUUUAAAGACCCGUCUGGAAUGAAAGGUCCUGGCAAAGACAUCCUCUGUGGGUCGGCGUCAUGCUUGUGUCUUUGCCACUGUCUUCACUCAUCCACAUGGUAGAGAUCAAAGCUUCCAGAAGCUUCAAACAUGGCUAUCCAGAAAUAAGGGGCCUUCGGAAUGUGAAGGACACCACAUCACGUAUUCCAUCAAGAAGGCAAGUAAGACUGGUUCUCGAGUGACAAGGCAUCGCUGAGCAAAGAACUCGACAGUCAGGAGCCUGGCCUGCACACAGCUAUCGCAUAAAAUAGGAAUUAAUAGGCAUCAUAAAAGUCAGCACCAGAGAGGGUUGUGGACCGUAUGAUGUCAGAUCCCAGAGCCAGGAAUGAUCAUAAUUUCACUACUCACCUCCUACUCUGUACCUGGCAUGAAGACCUACUCUGCGGGAGAGGUAGAAAGCAGGAGGCUCCUCCGAUGUUGCUGAUCUCACGGUUGUGCCCAUAUGGGCUUAGGGAGCCCAGCUCCGUGUGUCUGUCUUCACAAGAAAUCAGACAUGACUGGAGAACCAUAAGCCUCCACGGGGCGCACGCGGCCACGCUCUUAGAUUAGUCCUACCUGCCCAGAAGGAAAGUUCUGGAGACAAGAUGAGUGUGACAGGGCAGCUGCAGGCACAGCCAGUGGGGACAGGCUGUCCAGGGCAACUACGGGUGGCCAGAAGGACUGUACCAGGUAGCGGUUCCAUUUCGGGCUUGCAGACAACAGCCCCACGGUCAGGGCAUUUCAUAGCGGCCUCCGGGAGGACUGCUUCCUGACAGGGUUUGGCUUCCAGAUCCCUGGAGAGACUUUUUCAGGGCUCCUGCUCCACAGCAGACUCAGGGCCAGAUGUCCAAUCAAGGCAGAACCUCCAGCCUGGACAUCUGUCCUCCUCAUUCCAGAAAUCUUGUCAGAACCCGCUGGGGGAGCAAGUUGUCUUCACCAUGACCCUCAGAAUGAGAUGGAAGGGGCUUCAGAUAGCCCUUGGCUACGACGUGGAGGCACUUUCAAGUCAAGAGCAAAUUAAAUCUACUGGCCAGAAUUAACUGGGUUCAAACUUAAAUUGAGGUGGUCUGGCAAGAAACAGUAUCCACAAAUAGCACAUAUUCAUUCAGUGAUAAAAAACAAAUUAAGACACAAAAGAGGGCAAAGAAAAGUAAUUGAUAUACUUCCGCAUUCUCUUUUUAUUUUUGGUAAGCUACUGAAGGGUGGCAGGAUAUGCCACCGAAAACGUGCCACUGGGGCAUAAGGACUGUUUUGGAAAACAUCAGGCCCAAGAAGGAUGCUCUGACCUCCCCUUCGUCCUCCUGGAAGCAGGAGAAAAGAUCCCACACGGGCGAUGUCCCCGUCAUCAGGGACGGGCAGUUGAAGCCGAGAGAACUCUAUACAAACAGCCCUUGGUGAUAUGAUCUCGUCUUCCUUUAGCGUCCUUGAAUGUUUAGUCACUUUUCCAAAACUUCCUCCCUUUGUUCAGCCUGGUGCAAAAGCCUUUGGGUUUUGCCUCUCCUUUGGGUCUUCAUCCCGUGUGAAGGCUGCAUGUCACGUAAAACUUAGACUAAAUGACCCUGUGAGCGUCCCUCCUGCCGAUCCGUCUUGUGUGAAUUCUCAAGCCCCAGUGAAAACCUACGAGGGUAGAGGUGAAAUUUUGCCUCCUCUACGACGUUAAAAUGAUUGUUCCCCACUUGUAGUGCUAUCUCUUGAGUAUAUCAAGAUUCACUCUGUAAAAUAAAUUAAUCAACACAAAUACUGAGUACUUACGAGUGACUGCAGUUCUGUAGUUAGCUUUGUGAACUGACUGAACUCUAGAAUCAUAUGCGGCCAGUGGGUGAUCGUCUGCAAAAGGACAUGUGAACACUUCAUGCCAUCCUUGAAUAAUUACUGCUUUCUAGAUGGGUGAUCAUAGCAGUUACGUAACUGGAGGGAUCUUGGAGGCCUUCCAGGAGGAGGUGAGGCUGGAACAAGGCCAUGACAGUGGGGCAGGAACCCAUGAGGCAGACAGCAGAGUCUGCCACACAACGCAAGUAGAAAUGAGCUCCCGUUGUUUCAGAAUUAAGGCAGAGAACUCUGAUGUGGGUAUAUAAAUGGUGUUUUGGUUUCUGAGCAGACAGAUUAUCUAUAGCUGAUGGAAUUUGAGACCUCAUGGAUUAACAUUUUCAUUUAAAUGCCCAUCUUUUAAAUUCUCUUUUGUCCUGAAUUACAAAUCCAAAUCAUGUUAUGUUUGUACACAAGAGAGACUAGUGGUUUUCUGACCUUGAUUCUCACUAACUGUCUCUGAGUUAUGGAGCCUUUGUAGUGCAAGGUAAGAACUAACAAAAAGCAUGGCACAUGGGCCCAAAACCAGCUUACAUGUUACAAAAUCAUUUUAGUCAAACUGCUAUUAUGUGACCAAAUAUCUCCAUUGCCAGAUAUAAACAUACCUAUUAUAUCACAGAGGCUGACCUGAACCUUGAAGUGAUAAAACCUAUGAAUUCGUGAAAAUACAUAAACGCUUUAGCAAAUGCUUUGUAAAAAGGCAAAAGAAAGAAAAUAAGAGAAGACUCACAAUUCUUAAUCAGGUGUUAGAGAGAGGCUAUAAAGAUGUGAUAUCAAGUCCUCUGACCCUUUCCCAGCUAAGAGUUAUCCUGAACCAUUCUUCCAUUUGAUGGGUGUUUCUGUUCCAAAAAGAAGAAAAACAAAUGUCCAGCAGAUAAUCUAUCUGGGAGUUAGUAGAUAUUUUGCCAGAAACUUAUGGUUUUGCCCCAUGAUGAGUUGAAUGCAGGGGCGGGGAGGGGGCUUUUCUUUGGAGGGAGGGCUGCCUAUUUUUAUUUAUUUCUUGUAAGACCACCUCCUUGUACUUCCCAGAAAGAGAAUACAGAACAAGAAACAGACUGGGUUUCAAACCCAUCAACACUGGAGCGUAAAGCAGUUAAGCGCUCGGGAGACUUGGCCAAGGAGUUAAGUCACCACCCACCACAGCCAGUGCUCAGGGCAACUCAAAAUCCCAAUGUGUGCCUGACCGACACAGACAGAGAAUGAGCGAAUCCACAGUGCACUCUGUGGAUGUCACUGAAAAUGGAAGCUGAGCUCCUUUAUUUAAAAAAAAAAAAAGCAACCUUUAAAAGUCAAG